rnacentral:rRNA from 1 species
CGAGUCGCGCGAGAAUGUAGCAAUACAGGACAGCGGCGAAAGGGAGAGGACAACACGGGAAUCUGCCUUGGGGACGAGGAUAGCGUCGGGAAACUGACAGUAAUACUCGAUAAUGUUUGCGGACCAAAGGUGUGAUUCCGCCCCAAGAUGAGCCCGUGCCCCAUUAGCUAGUUGGCAGGGUAAUGGCCUACCAAGGCUGUGAUGGGUAGCUGGUGUGAGAGCACGACCAGCCUCACUGGCACUGAGACACUGGCCAGACACCUACGGGUGGCUGCAGUCGAGAAUCUUCGGCAAUGGACGCAAGUCUGACCGAGCGACGCCGCGUGCGGGAUGAAGGCCUUCGGGUUGUAAACCGCUGUCGUAGGGAAUCAAGUGUAUGAGGGUACUCCCUUGUAUUUGAGAGAUCCUAGGAGGAAGGAGAGGCUAAGCUCGUGCCAGCAGCCGCGGUAAGACGAGCUCUCCAAACGUUAUUCGGUAUUACUGGGCUUAAAGAGUUCGUAGGCGGCUCUGUAGGUGAGAUGUGAAAGCCCUCGGCUUAACCGAGGAACUGCGUUUCAAACCACAGGGCUUGAGGGAGAUAGGGGUAAGCGGAACAGAUGGUGGAGCGGUGAAAUGCAUUGAUAUCAUCUGGAACACCGGUGGCGAAGGCGGCUUACUGGGUCUUUUCUGACGCUGAGGAACGAAAGCUAGGGUAGCGAACGGGAUUAGAUACCCCGGUAGUCCUAGCCGUAAACGAUGAGCACUAGUCUGAGGGACUCUCACAGUUUCUCGGACGUAGCGAAAGUGUUAAGUGCUCCGCCUGGGGAGUAUGGUCGCAAGGCUGAAACUCAAAGGAAUUGACGGGGGCUCACACGAGCGGUGGAGGAUGUGGCUUAAUUCGAGGCUACGCGAAGAACCUUAUCCUAGUCUUGACAUGUUUAAGAAUCUGA